rnacentral:rRNA from 1 species
GACGAACGCUGGCGGCGUGCCUAAUACAUGCAAGUAGAACGCUGCAGAGAGGAGCUUGCUCUUCUUGGUGGGGUUGCGAAGGGGUGAGUAACGCGUAGGUAACCUGACUUGUAGCGGGGGGUAACUAUUGGAAACGAUAUCUAAGACCGCAUAACAAUGGAUCACACAUUUCAUUUAUUUGAAAUGGGCAAUUUCUCCACUACAAGAUGUACCUGCGUUGUAUUAGCUAGUAGGUGAGGUAGGGGCUAACCUAGGCGAGGUUACAUAGCCGACCUCAGAGGGUGAGCGGCAAAGCUGGGCUUGGAACACGGCCCAGAAUCCUAGGGGAGGCAGCCGUCGGGGAUCUUCGGCAAUGGGGGCAAUGGUGAACGAGGAACGCUGCGUGAGUGAAGAAGGUUUUCGGAUCGUGAAGCUCAGUUGUGCGUCAAGAUCGGGUGUGAGAGUGGCAAGUUAACACUGUGACGGUAGCGUACGAGAAAGGGACGGCUAACUCCGUG